rnacentral:rRNA from 1 species
AUUGAACGCUGGCGGCAGGCCUAACACAUGCAAGUCGAGCGGAGCGGCGGACGGGACAGUAAUUCCUAGGAAUCUGCCUGUUAGUGGUGUAUAACUUCCGGAAACGGGCGCUUAUACCACAUCCUAUAAGAUGAGCUUCGGUCGGAUUAGCUAGUUGGUGGGGUAAUGGCCUACCAAGGCGACGAUCCGGACCUGGCCUGAGAGGAUGAUCAGUCACACUGGUACUGAGACACGGUCCAGACGCCUACGGGAGGCAGCAGUGGGGAAUAUUGGACAAUGGGCUAAAGCCUGAUCCAGCCAUGCCGCGUGUGUGAAGAAGGUCUUCGGAUUGUAAAGCACUUUAAGUUGGGAGGCGUUACCUACAGAAUAAGCACCGGCUAACUUCGUGCCAGCAGCCGCGGUAAUAC